rnacentral:lncRNA from 1 species
GAGGAGAGCUUGACAUGCCUUCGCAUUUGCAGGAGAUGAAACAUCCUCCUGCUUGCAGCCCAGGGAAGAGGCUGGAGCUGGGCCGCUUUCUCCACAACUGUAGAACUACAGUGAAAUGAGGAUUCGUUGUUUAUGUUUCAUUGGCUUCUCUGAGGAAAACAGUGACCACGAGAUGAGACAGAGCCUUGGGGACCAAUACAUUUACUGUAAUAGGAAUGAGUCAGCAUGGAUAUAUUGCAGGUAAAUCAUGUCAGACUAAUUUGAUC